rnacentral:rRNA from 1 species
UACGUAGGGUGCAAGCGUUAAUCAGAAUUACUGGGCGUAAAGGGUGAGUAGGUGGAAAUAUAAGUUAGAUGUGAAAUACCUAGCUUAACUUAGGAACUGCAUUUAAUACUGUAUAUCUAGAGUCUGUUAGAGGGGGGUAGAAUUCCAAGUGUAGCAGUGAAAUGCGUAGAGAUUUGGAGGAAUACCAAUGGCGAAGGCAGCCCCCUGGGAUAAGACUGACACUGAGUCACGAAAGCGUGGGUAGCAAACAGG